CGCGGGGUGGAGCAGUCCGGUAGCUCGUUGGGCUCAUAACCCAAAGGUCACAGGUUCAAAUCCUGUCCCCGCUACCA
rnacentral:tRNA from 3 species